AUUGAACGCUGGCGGCAGGCUUAACACAUGCAAGUCGAACGAGUGGCGGACGGGUGAGUAAUGCUUGGGAAUCUAGCUUAUGGAGGGGGAUAACUACGGGAAACUGUAGCUAAUCCCGCGUACCAUAGGAUGAGCCCAAGUGGGAUUAGCUAGGAGGUGGGGUAAAGGCUCACCUAGGCGACGAUCUGUAGCUGGUCUGAGAGGAUGAUCAGCCACACUGGGACGGAGACACGGCCCAGACUCCUACGGGAGGCAGCAGUGGGGAAUAUUGCACAAUGGGCGCAGGCCUGAUGCAGCCAUGCCGCGUGUAUGAAGAAGGCAUUAGGGUUGUAGAGUACUUUCAGCGGGGAGGCGUUACCCGCAGAAGAAGCGCCGGCUAACUCCGUGCCAGCAGACGCGGUAAUUC
rnacentral:rRNA from 1 species